CAUUAAUUCAAGCAGAAAAUAAAGUUUGCCUUCUAGACUCACAGAGAUAAUGAUCUGUCUUUGCCUAUCAAGAAGUCAUGUCCAGUGCUGUGUUGCAGAAAGACCAAGGAGGAGAGGAAUGUUUUCCCAGACUGGCAGAGGAUGAAUGGCUGGAGCAUUCAGACCAACCACAAAAUCACCACCUAUCGAAUACAGCCAGCAAGUACAAGUUUCCUUAAAACAGAGGAUGAAGUUUACUGAACUCCAAACAACACAUUAUCCAAAGUUCAAGCAACCAAGGAGAUACUAAGCAGACAUUUGGUCAAAGAUACUGAAUAUUGUACUUCCGUGCAUUUCUAAACUCAUAUCAUAAAUGG